GCGGACGUGGCGAAACUGGCAGACGCGCAAGGCUUAGGACCUUGUGGGCCUAAAGCCCUUGGAGGUUCGACUCCUCUCGUCCGCACCA
rnacentral:tRNA from 1 species